rnacentral:rRNA from 1 species
GACAGAGGUGCCAAGCGUUAGGCGGAAUCACUGGGCUUAAAGCGUGUGUAGGCGGAUGCCUAAGUACCUUGUGAAAUCCCCCGGCUCAACCGGGGAACGGCUGGGUAUACUGGGUGUCUUGGGUCAUCUAGGGGCUGCCGGAACAAAUGGUGGAGCGGUGAAAUGCGUAGAUAUCGGGAGGAACACCUGUGGCGAAAGCGGCUCACUGGACCACAACUGACGCUGAGGCGCGAAAGCUAGGGGAGCAAACAGG